rnacentral:tRNA from 1 species
CUUUUAAAGGAUAGAAGCCUAAU